GUUGAUUUUGAAUUAAAAAUGUCGUAACGACUCUCGGCAACGGAUAUCUCGGCUCUCGCAUCGAUGAAGAACGUAGCGAAAUGCGAUACUUGGUGUGAAUUGCAGAAUCCCGUGAACCAUCGAGUCUUUGAACGCAAGUUGCGCCCGAAGCCGUUAGGCUAA
rnacentral:rRNA from 1 species